UUUGCUACAAUCGAUCGCCGAAAACAAUGAUGAGCUCGCUUUCGCCGUAAUUUGUGGAAAUUUAAAUAGGUUAUGACGUUUGGAUUUAAAAGUGUAUGCACACAUGUUGUUGUGAAAAAUAUCUUUGCAAGAAAAAGAAUCCUUAGUGGUCAUCGUUGAGGCAAUCUGAAGCAGUGAUAAUUAAUUGCUGCAACGACACAAUGCACGUCUGAUAGUCAAAAAUCAGGUUUCGAAUAAAUUCAGGGGUAGGCGAUUGUACUUAGAGUGAAUGAAACUCCAUGUUUAACAAUGCCGCCAGGUAAUCGGCGCGCCCUUCGUUCGGUGGAAAAUAAACUUAGUGAUCCAGAUAUACACUAUCUGAACACUGGAAGUAGACGGACAGGAGCGCCAGAUGAUUCAAAUGAUACAAAAAAGAAAACGCCAGUGCGAAGAAGUUAUAGGAAUAGUGUUAGUCGGCUUCAAAAUCAGCACGCACGGCACACUGCGUUCAUUGACAGUCCAGCAUGUAACUUCGCGCGAACUGCUGACGGUGACAAUUCAGAAUUCGUGAUUCCGUUGCCGCCUUCAGCGAAGUCGCGUCGUCAACUGAAUUGUCGACUUCGGCACUCACCAUCACCAUUUAUCGAGCCACCAUCGUUUGAACUUCUGCUGGCACCUUCCAGUUUAGAACGCAGGAAAGGACCGAGAGAAAGCACUCCUGCUGACAGCAUUAGAGGAGAUACUCUUCAAUCUCUAACUCGACAAGGCUCAUUUGAUGCGGAGUCAUCGCAUCCAAAUUCGACGUUGCCGACGGUGUCCUCGUCGUAUGGGUUCGUUAACACAGUCGAUCACGUUUUUCUCGAUGACGAAGACGACAGUCUACCGCAUGCGUACUCAACUUUCUUCGAAACAUCUACCCUCGAUAGCAAUCGCGGUUGUAACUUACUCAAGCCGAAAUUUAUUGAACCAACAAACUUCUUCCCAGGAGAUGAUAUUGAUGAAGACGUUCCAUGGAUUGAUGGCCGAUUGGGGUGGGGUGCAAUCUCCAGCUUCGCGAUAUUAUUCUCGAACUUCGCAAACCAGUCCUCUCAAUUAGAAGCCUCGCUGUAUGCACCACAAGUAUUUCACACUGCUGGACAGUUGUUGGACCUUGGCAAAGAGGAAAGAUCAGUCGUACAUAUGGCCGAAGGAAAGGUCAAAAUGGCAGCUUGGCUAGACUGAUUCCUCGAGACCGUGGUGAAUCAUCGCAUUCAGAGGGCAAAGAUCUUUCCGACGAAGAAAUUCCGAUGUCAAGGGAAGAGAAGGCACUUGAAAAGGAAAAAACCAAGACUAGGAAAAAACGACCCCCUCCUCUGCCGCCGGGCUUUAAGGAGUGGGCAAAUCGGACCAAUGCAGAAUUUGAAGAAAUAGAGAAGCAUCGACUUUUCAUUGAUACGGAGCGCCGUGCUUCUUGAAGACCAAUUUAAGACGUUAAUAGUGGUAUCAAUUUCGAAUAAUCGCUGCGAUGCUACAUGUAAUUGAAUGCAUAAGAUGUAUGAUUUUGUCUAAGUAAACCUUUAUGAAAGCACCGAAUGUCUCUUCUGCUGUGAUAAAUACUCAGUGCUGCUACAAUAUGUCUUUAUCAUUCUACUUUGAGAAGGGACGCAGCUGCUUUUUUGUUGAUGACCGUUCUCAUUGCAUUAAAAGUCUAAGAAGUAGUUCGCUAAAAUAACACACAUUUGAUUCAUAUUAUACGUUAUGCAUAUUAUAUAUAUCGAUGAAUAGAGGUUUGAAUAGCUAAUCAGUCAAAGGAAACUUCUGGUGAAUAACGAACUUCAGUGGGGCACAGCGACUGAAGUUGGUGGACCAACCCAACCAUAUACAAUGAGCCAAACUUUUGUGGAUAGAGGACAUCCAAAUACCAUUCUCAGAACCUCUAUAAUACUCUACAAAGUAUAGUCGUGUCAUCGUGUACGUUAGAGUACAAUUGGUCAGCGUUCAAGCAUUUUAUCGAACAUACUGACAAUUUAGCCGAAUAUUUUCGUUCCAUUUGAUUCAAUGCUAACAGAUCUGCGAACCAAGUUUCUUGCCCGUCGUAAAACUCUUUCUGUAUUCAUAGACAAACAUGCCGUGCGGAACGCAUUGGAGUAUUAUUUCUAUGGAGUUUUAAAUAUGGAACUUCCAGCUAUUUUGGUGUGGGAAAGGUGCACAGAUAAUUUGUGUUUAUAAUUUAUUAUAUCUACUAUUUUAGAGCUCAGGAGGCCCGACAGCGCCCAUAUGACAAACGUCAAGUGUUACUCACCGACUGCUGCUUGAAGUGUACGUUUAUUGCCUUUCCUAUGUAUCAUGUCAUGUAUAAAGACCGGGGGAAAACGGUCCUUCUGAGCUGAGAAUGUACAAAAUCAGGAAAGUGGAGAGCACCAAUUAAUUGACGACGGUCUUUCACGCUCUUUUCCGAUUCAGCACUUCAGAUCAAUAGUUACUGCCAUGUUGGUAUCUCUCGCUUAAAAUGUCACGUGGUGUAUCCACAUGUAACUUCGUAGAGGUUGGUAAUGGUGCACCGCACAUGGCACUCUUCUGUGCUAUUGUAAGUGCUGUAUACCGAUAAUUUCAACAUAGUGCUAACAAACCCUAAAUUAAAGUGGAUUAUCAAAUAACGCUAAGAGGCGAAAAACGGUGAGCAGGUGUCUUGCAAAAAGAACAAUAUUUGAAAUAACAUGCCGAUUUUAAUUUAUUUUGAUUUUUCGUUCUAGAGCCCACCUUAUUAACGAAAGCAAAAUGUAACUAUACCAAGAAAAAUAGAAAUAAAAUCAAAUGUUCAUAUGAAUUUUUCGUAAAACAUCAUUCACCGGUGUUAUCAUGUUAAAAUUAUAAAAGCAUAAAAAUGUGUUAGUUUGCCCCUGAUGGCCUACCACAUAUGUGUAUUUGGCGCAACGCACGGGGUUUGCUUGAUGGACUCAGAGACGAACGACUGACGCAGCGUUUAGAGGAUCGUUCAAUGUGAUUGAAUAACCACAAUAUAUGCGUGAGCAAAGCACAUCAAAGAUACGGGCCAAUAUGAAGACAGACAGCAUCAUUCUAAUUAUAACAAGAUCGAACUCCUCUGCUACAGUUGAUUAUUAAAAUGUGAUGACUUCUAACUAUGCGUAGUUUACGUAGGUGCGAUUAUCCCAUCAGCUGUCGUGCAUGCCUAGUAUGUGCAUACAGGCAACGAAUGACAGAACAAAGUGCUAUAAUCGGUAAAAAAUCGCUGUGGAGUUCUAGCGUACGCUCAUAGGUGACUUACUGGUUUCUAACUGUUGGCCGCGUCAUCAGCUCAGAGCAGCUGAUUCUCACUCAGCUGGUGCUCAGCUCACUUUCUCGACGGCGGUUCAGAAUUAUAUCACCGAAUUCUGCUACAAAAUCUGCGAGAACUUUGAGAUUACCGGAUGUAUCUAGGAUUCCCUAACAGGUUGCAGACCAAUUACAAGUAGCCGUAAAGAGCAUUUGUUGGGAUUUCGGAACAUAUGACUUAAUAAGCGAAUCUCUUGAGCUAAACAUCUCACGGAAAUAUUUGCGACGCCCAUAUAAAGGAAUACAAACCCUUACUUAAGUCAAUCAAAUAAUUCAAGCAGCCACAGUAGCUAUUCCUGUAGAUAUUGCACUUGAACUAUAACUAAUGCUAUAAUAGAAAUCAGUGGGGUGAUAUUCUGCCAGUUCUGCCUAAGUUAAAUU